rnacentral:rRNA from 1 species
UACGUAGGAGGCAAGCGUUGUCCGGAAUUACUGGGCGUAAAGCGCGUGUAGGCGGUGGGACAAGUCUGCUGUGAAAGUGCCUGGCUUAACCGGGCGAGGUCGGCGGAAACUGUCCGACUCGAGGACGGUAGAGGGGGGUGGAAUUCCCGGUGUAGUGGUGAAAUGCGUAGAGAUCGGGAGGAACACCUGUGGCGAAGGCGGCCCCCUGGGCCGGCCCUGACACUGAGACGCGAAGGCGUGGGGAGCGAACGGG